rnacentral:tRNA from 1 species
CCAGAAUUGGGCUCAGAUGGUAAAGCAUCUGCCUGCAAUGCAGGAGACCUGGGUUCGAUCCCUGGGUCAGGA